rnacentral:rRNA from 1 species
GGGUUGUGAGGUUAAGCGACUAAGCGUACACGGUGGAUGCCCUGGCAGUCAGAGGCGAUGAAGGACGUGCUAAUCUGCGAUAAGCGUCGGUGAGGUGAUAUGAACCGUUAUAACCGGCGAUUUCCGAAUGGGGAAACCCAGUGUGUUUCGACACACUAUCAUUAACUGAAUCCAUAGGUUAAUGAGGCGAACCGGGGGAACUGAAACAUCUAAGUACCCCGAGGAAAAGAAAUCAACCGAGAUUCCCCCAGUAGCGGCGAGCGAACGGGGAGGAGCCCAGAGCCUGAAUCAGUGUGUGUGUUAGUGGAAGCGUCUGGAAAGGCGUGCGAUACAGGGUGACAGCCCCGUACACAAAAAUGCACAUAUUGUGAGCUCGAUGAGUAGGGCGGGACACGUGGUAUCCUGUCUGAAUAUGGGGGGACCAUCCUCCAAGGCUAAAUACUCCUGACUGACCGAUAGUGAACCAGUACCGUGAGGGAAAGGCGAAAAGAACCCCGGCGAGGGGAGUGAAAAAGAACCUGAAACCGUGUACGUACAAGCAGUGGGAGCCUCUUAAUGGGGUGACUGCGUACCUUUUGUAUAAUGGGUCAGCGACUUAUAUUCUGUAGCAAGGUUAACCGAAUAGGGGAGCCGAAGGGAAACCGAGUCUUAACUGGGCGUUAAGUUGCAGGGUAUAGACCCGAAACCCGGUGAUCUAGCCAUGGGCAGGUUGAAGGUUGGGUAACACUAACUGGAGGACCGAACCGACUAAUGUUGAAAAAUUAGCGGAUGACUUGUGGCUGGGGGUGAAAGGCCAAUCAAACCGGGAGAUAGCUGGUUCUCCCCGAAAGCUAUUUAGGUAGCGCCUCGUGAAUUCAUCUCCGGGGGUAGAGCACUGUUUCGGCAAGGGGGUCAUCCCGACUUACCAACCCGAUGCAAACUGCGAAUACCGGAGAAUGUUAUCACGGGAGACACACGGCGGGUGCUAACGUCCGUCGUGAAGAGGGAAACAACCCAGACCGCCAGCUAAGGUCCCAAAGUCAUGGUUAAGUGGGAAACGAUGUGGGAAGGCCCAGACAGCCAGGAUGUUGGCUUAGAAGCAGCCAUCAUUUAAAGAAAGCGUAAUAGCUCACUGGUCGAGUCGGCCUGCGCGGAAGAUGUAACGGGGCUAAACCAUGCACCGAAGCUGCGGCAGCGACACUAUGUGUUGUUGGGUAGGGGAGCGUUCUGUAAGCCUGUGAAGGUGGCCUGUGAGGGUUGCUGGAGGUAUCAGAAGUGCGAAUGCUGACAUAAGUAACGAUAAAGCGGGUGAAAAGCCCGCUCGCCGGAAGACCAAGGGUUCCUGUCCAACGUUAAUCGGGGCAGGGUGAGUCGACCCCUAAGGCGAGGCCGAAAGGCGUAGUCGAUGGGAAACAGGUUAAUAUUCCUGUACUUGGUGUUACUGCGAAGGGGGGACGGAGAAGGCUAUGUUGGCCGGGCGACGGUUGUCCCGGUUUAAGCGUGUAGGCUGGUUUUCCAGGCAAAUCCGGAAAACCAAGGCUGAGGCGUGAUGACGAAGCACUACGGUGCUGAAGCGACAAAUGCCCUGCUUCCAGGAAAAGCCUCUAAGCAUCAGGUAACAUCAAAUCGUACCCCAAACCGACACAGGUGGUCAGGUAGAGAAUACCAAGGCGCUUGAGAGAACUCGGGUGAAGGAACUAGGCAAAAUGGUGCCGUAACUUCGGGAGAAGGCACGCUGAUAUGUAGGUGAAGCGACUUGCUCGUGGAGCUGAAAUCAGUCGAAGAUACCAGCUGGCUGCAACUGUUUAUUAAAAACACAGCACUGUGCAAACACGAAAGUGGACGUAUACGGUGUGACGCCUGCCCGGUGCCGGAAGGUUAAUUGAUGGGGUUAGCGGCAACGCGAAGCUCUUGAUCGAAGCCCCGGUAAACGGCGGCCGUAACUAUAACGGUCCUAAGGUAGCGAAAUUCCUUGUCGGGUAAGUUCCGACCUGCACGAAUGGCGUAAUGAUGGCCAGGCUGUCUCCACCCGAGACUCAGUGAAAUUGAACUCGCUGUGAAGAUGCAGUGUACCCGCGGCAAGACGGAAAGACCCCGUGAACCUUUACUAUAGCUUGACACUGAACAUUGAGCCUUGAUGUGUAGGAUAGGUGGGAGGCUUUGAAGUGUGGACGCCAGUCUGCAUGGAGCCGACCUUGAAAUACCACCCUUUAAUGUUUGAUGUUCUAACGUUGGCCCGUAAUCCGGGUUGCGGACAGUGUCUGGUGGGUAGUUUGACUGGGGCGGUCUCCUCCUAAAGAGUAACGGAGGAGCACGAAGGUUGGCUAAUCCUGGUCGGACAUCAGGAGGUUAGUGCAAUGGCAUAAGCCAGCUUGACUGCGAGCGUGACGGCGCGAGCAGGUGCGAAAGCAGGUCAUAGUGAUCCGGUGGUUCUGAAUGGAAGGGCCAUCGCUCAACGGAUAAAAGGUACUCCGGGGAUAACAGGCUGAUACCGCCCAAGAGUUCAUAUCGACGGCGGUGUUUGGCACCUCGAUGUCGGCUCAUCACAUCCUGGGGCUGAAGUAGGUCCCAAGGGUAUGGCUGUUCGCCAUUUAAAGUGGUACGCGAGCUGGGUUUAGAACGUCGUGAGACAGUUCGGUCCCUAUCUGCCGUGGGCGCUGGAGAACUGAGGGGGGCUGCUCCUAGUACGAGAGGACCGGAGUGGACGCAUCACUGGUGUUCGGGUUGUCAUGCCAAUGGCACUGCCCGGUAGCUAAAUGCGGAAGAGAUAAGUGCUGAAAGCAUCUAAGCACGAAACUUGCCCCGAGAUGAGUUCUCCCUGAGACUUAGAGUCUCCUGAAGGAACGUUGAAGACGACGACGUUGAUAGGCCGGGUGUGUAAGCGCAGCGAUGCGUUGAGCUAACCGGUACUAAUGAACCGUGAGGCUUAACCUUACAACGCCGAAG